rnacentral:tRNA from 1 species
AGGAAAGUGCCUGAUUAAAGGAUUAUUUUGAUAGAAUAAAUUAAGAAAUCUUAAAUUUCCUUUCCUA